rnacentral:rRNA from 1 species
AACGAACGCUGGCGGCAUGCCUAACACAUGCAAGUCGAACGAGACCUUCGGGUCUAGUGGCGCACGGGUGUGUAACGCGUGGGAACCUUCCCUUAGGUUCGGAAUAACUCUCCGAAAGGGGUGCUAAUACCGGAUAAUGUCUUCGGACCAAAGAUUUAUCGCCUUUGGAUGGGCCCGCGUUGGAUUAGCUAGUUGGUAGGGUAAAAGCCUACCACGGCGACGAUCCAUAGCUGGUCUGAGAGGAUGAUCAGCGACACUGGGACUGAGACACGGCCCAGACUCCUACGGGAGGCAGCAGUGGGGAAUAGUGGAAAAUGGGCGAAAGGCUGAACCAGCAAUGACGGGUGAGUGAUGAAGGCCUUAGGGUUGUAAAGCUCUUUUACCCGGGAUGAUAAUGACAGUACCGGGAGAAUAAGCUCCGGCUAACUCCGUG